rnacentral:piRNA from 1 species
UGGAAGUAUAUGGCUAUAUAUAGGAAGUUC